GAAAGAAAUUCCGGGCUGAAUGGAAGGCCAUCAAGGCUGUAAAGAGUUGUGUCAAAAAAUGUUCAGAUCUGUUUGGAAGAGACUGGUGUUGAUUGGUGCUUUUCAGCUGAGUCUCUUGUUGAGAAUCCAGCUCUCUUUGCUGGAUUUCAGACAGCUAAAUGGCUAACCGGUGAUAACGAAAGCAGCAGAGAUGGAAAACUGGACCAGGCAGAUGUGUUAGUGGAGUAUUUGAAGCUUU
rnacentral:misc_RNA from 1 species